GGGCGCGUAUGGCAACCAGCUUGCGCGGGGAGGUAUGUCCUUACGCGCAAGUUGUGGCGGGUUCAAUUCCCGCCGCGCCCA
rnacentral:tRNA from 1 species